AUUGAACGCUGGCGGCAGGCCUAACACAUGCAAGUCGAACGGUAACAGGAAGAAGCUUGCUUCUUUGCUGACGAGUGGCGGACGGGUGUGUAAUGUCUGGGAAACUGCCUGAUGGAGGGGGAUAACUACUGGAAACGGUAGCUAAUACCGCAUAACGUCGCAAGACCAAAAAGGGGGACCUUCGGGCCUCUUGCCAUCGGAUGUGCCCAGAUGGGAUUAGCUAGUAGGUGGGGUAACGGCUCACCUAGGCGACGAUCCCUAGCUGGUCUGAGAGGAUGACCAGCCACACUGGAACUGAGACACGGUCCAGACUCCUACGGGAGGCAGCAGUGGGGAAUAUUGCACAAUGGGCGCAAGCCUGAUGCAGCCAUGCCGCGUGUAUGAAGAAGGCCUUCGGGUUGUAAAGUACUUUUAGCGGGGAAGAAGGGAGUAAAGUUAAUACCUUUGCUCAUUGACGGUACCCGAAGAAGAAGCACCGGCUAACUCCGUG
rnacentral:rRNA from 1 species